rnacentral:rRNA from 1 species
AUCAUGGCUCAGGAUGAACGCUAGCUACAGGCUUAACACAUGCAAGUCGAGGGGCAGCAUGACGAUAGCUUGCUAUUGUUGAUGGCGACCGGCGCACGGGUGAGUAACGCGUAUCCAACCUUCCCUAUAGUAGAGGAUAGCCCGGCGAAAGUCGGAUUAAUACUCUAUGUUUUCCAAUGCAGACAUCUAAAAUGGAACAAAGGCUUGCCGCUAUAGGAUGGGGAUGCGUCUGAUUAGAUAGUAGGCGGGGUAACGGCCCACCUAGUCAACGAUCAGUAGGGGUUCUGAGAGGAAGGUCCCCCACAUUGGAACUGAGACACGGUCCAAACUCCUACGGGAGGCAGCAGUGAGGAAUAUUGGUCAAUGGGCGAGAGCCUGAACCAGCCAAGUAGCGUGCAGGAUGACGGCCCUAUGGGUUGUAAACUGCUUUUAUAUAGGGAUAAAGUGCACUACGCGUAGUGUUUUGUAGGUACUAUAUGAAUAAGGACCGGCUAAUUCCGUGCCAGCCGCGGC